CUCUGAGAUUUCAGUAGUUUGGAGUCAAGUUUGAGGCAGUUGUAACCUUACCGAAUUUAGUUUUGCCAAGAAUGGUAUUCUACGUGUGUCAGCCCCGUAUGGACUUCUGUAAUGACUAAUGGAUAUGUUUAUAUCCCGCGCAUUCGUUGUAGGAAUUUUAAAUACAAUCCCAAAAGUCAAGAUUACCUGUAGAAAUAUCAGUAUUACUAUGUUUAAAAUUUAAUAGAACCAUAUUUUACUUUUCACUUUGGGACUCGCACAGGAUGUUUGCAGCUUUUGAUAUACAGGAUUGGUGUGAGCAGCUCUGCUUCAGGAUGUGGAGUUAUUUUCAGAUCUGCUCCACGGAUCAUUCUGGAGCUAGUGAACUACCCAGAGAAAGCUCUGCUUAUGAGGAAAUACAUGUGACAGUCAAGUCAAACCACACAGGUGCCUCUGCUCACAUUGCUUCUAUGCAUGUUAUUGGCCAAAGCACAUGAUAUGCCCAAGUCUACAUCAAAGGGGCCAGGCAACAAGAAAAAGUGGAGAAGGAGCAGUUUUUCCAUUUCCCUGAUCAGAAUUGAGUGAAGUUGACAGCAGGAUUGCAGAAGUGGAAAGACCAAGGUAAGGGAAGCAGGGUUGGGAAUUGCUGGUGUCUGUUUGUCAUUAGGAUUUGUUUUUCUUUCCCUCUGAGACCUAAAUGUCUUUUAAUUACAAGUCAGCUGAUUCUGUAACUGAAAAGCUGAGUAGCAGAUUACAUACAGCCUGCUGUUACUGUAAUGAGGAAUGAUUAGGAUCUAGAACAGUUUUCUCUCUUGCAUGGAAAAAAAAAGCACCAAUUAGUGUUAAUGAAUCAUUGCUUGAAUAAGGCAGCCAGG
rnacentral:lncRNA from 1 species